rnacentral:antisense_RNA from 2 species
CUUGAGCGAGCCGAGCAGCAACGGCCGGUGCGCCGGGCGGUCCUGGCCGUAGGUGGCCAGUAGCGCCUGCGCCUC